rnacentral:rRNA from 1 species
UACGUAGGGUCCAAGCGUUUAUCCGGAAUCACUGGGCGUAAAGCGUGCGUAGGUGGCGCGUUAAGUGUGAUGUUAAAUCGUGGGGCUCAACCCUGUCGGUGCAUCACAUACUGGCGUGCUAGAGGACAGCAGAGGCGAGUGGAAUUCCUGGUGUAGCGGUGAAAUGCGCAGAUAUCAAGGAGGAACACCGAUGGCGAAGGCAG